rnacentral:rRNA from 1 species
GACGAACGCUGGCGGCGUGCCUAAUACAUACAAGUCGAACGAAGCUUUUUUAACUGGUGCUUGCACCGACUUAAACAACUGAGUGGCGAACGGGUGAGUAACACGUGGGUAACCUGCCCCAAAGCGGAGGAUAAUAUUUGGAAACAGAUGCUAAUACCGCAUAAUCACAGACACCACAUGGUUUCUGUGUCAAAGAUGGUUUCGGCUAUCACUUUGGGAUGGACCCGCGGCGUAUUAGCUAGUUGGUAAGGUAAUGGCUUACCAAGGCAAUGAUACGUAGCCGAACUGAGAGGUUGAUCGGCCACAUUGGGACUGAGACACGGCCCAAACUCCUACGGGAGGCAGCAGUAGGGAAUCUUCCACAAUGGACGAAAGUCUGAUGGAGCAACGCCGCGUGAGUGAAGAAGGUUUUCGGAUCGUAAAACUCUGUUGUCAGAGAAGAACGUGUGCGAGAGUAACUGUUCGUGCAGUGACGGUAUCUGGCCAGAAAGCCACGGCUAACUACGUGCCAGCAGCCGCGGUAA